UGUCACUUAGCAUAAUACUCUCCAGGCCCAUCCACGCUGUUGCAAAAGGUAAGAUUUUUUUCUUUUUCACGGCCAAUGCCUGUUCUUAUUCAUAAGGGAACACAGUUUGAGAAGACUAAAGCGGAUUGUUCUCUCACCCAGUGCACCCCAGUGAACAUCGGUGCAAGUCGACUACACUUGGAGACCCCGAAUGAGAAGCCUUGGGUCAGGUGGGCAGCAGCCAGGGCCGCGUCCACUGAGACCGGCGAGGACCCUGCUUCUCUCUGCCCUUCGCUGAUGGCUGUGAGAAUUCCUGAUUCAAAGCAGGACAAGGUCUCUGCCUCAGGGCCAAGGCCCUGGACGAGGCGGCUGUGGCCGCCGUCUCGGUGGCUUUCAUUUUUAACUUCAGCGACACACCAGUCAGCUUCACUGAUGUUCUAGAACCAAACAUCACGCACAGGUAAAUAAAUGACAGGCCUGUUAGUAACAAUUCUCUAUUUAUUAAAAAGGGUCCCACGGCCUCACAACCACAGCUCAGACAUGGCCCCGGAGCAAUGGCGUGGCCGGCCUGGCAGCCCCUUCACCACAUCCACACGGAGCCCAUGUCAGCUGCAUCCUGCUUGGUGGCAGAGGUAUGGGCUGGGUGGCACUGCUCUCAGGGUUCACAGAACAUGGCAGGCGCCCUGACUGGCAUGGCAGCAAAUGGUCCUAUACAGCUCUGUUUCUCUGAAAACAGGUACAAUACAGUAGAGUUCAAGUCCAGGAGAACUGUGUGGACACUGAGUACAAAGGUGGUGGCCUCACCCGUGGCCACUGGGACAGACCGUCUGAGCUUCGGCAGCAGCCAGGAGUUCCCCACCUGAGCACCUGGCCUGUUUGUCCACAGGUAGGUGGUGACACACCCCCACCUCGGAAUUCAGCACGUGGGGCACCUAUAGCCGAGAACCUAGAGGGGCAGGAAGAGUGUCCUAGCUUGGCACCCUCUCUUCCCAGGGCCCAGCCAGAGGCUGAGAAUAUUGGCUAAGAGGACCCUGGUUCAGGGCACGAACUUCUUACAACACAGCGUGACGUGCCCUUCCUGAAGGCAGCUGGGGGCUGCAGCCACCCCAUGGCCUGGGGCAGCCCCCAUGGCACCAGUGAAGCUGUAAACCCACCGCCUGUGACAGGAUUCAUGUCACCUACACUUCCAUCUGCUCAAAACAACAUGUGCAUUUUUUAUAAAGUUUCCCUGAAUGG